CCUACGGGAGGCAGCAGUGGGGAAUAUUGGGCAAUGGGCGCAAGCCUGACCCAGCAACGCCGCGUGAAGGAAGAAGGCUCUCGGGUUGUAAACUUCUUUUUUCAGGGACGAAGAAAGUGACGGUACCUGAGGAAUAAGCCACGGCUAACUACGUGCCAGCAGCCGCGGGAAUACGUAGGUGGCAAGCGUUAUCCGGAAUUAUUGGGUGUAAAGGGCGUGUAGGCGGGAGCGCAAGUCAGAUGUGAAAACUCAGGGCACAACCCUGAGCCUGCAUUUGAAACUGUGUUUCUUGAGUGCUGGAGAGGCAAUCGGAAUUCCGGGUGUAGCGGUGAAAUGCGUAGAUAUACGGAGGAACACCAGUGGCGAAGGCGGAUUGCUGGACAGUAACUGACGCUGAGGCGCGAAGGCGUGGGGAGCAAACAGGAUUAGAUACCCGGGUAGUC
rnacentral:rRNA from 1 species